UACAGAGGUCCACAGUGUUCGGUGAUUCAUUGGGCGUAAAGGGUGCGUAGGCGGCGCGGUAAGUCGGGUGUGAAAUCUCGGAGCUUAACUCCGAAACUGCAUUCGAUACUGCCGUGCUUGAGGACUGGAGAGGAGACUGGAAUUUACGGUGUAGCGGUGAAAUGCGUAGAUAUCGUAAGGAAGACCAGUGGCGAAGGCGGGUCUCUGGGCCACUACUGACGCUGAGAAGCGAAAGCGUGGGGAGCAAACAGG
rnacentral:rRNA from 1 species